UGGACUUCUUCAUGUAAGAUAAGUUUUUCACAAUUUCUUCAUGUAAGGUAUGGAAGGUAAAUGGGAAUUAGUUUAUAAUCUCCUGUCAGUGGGAUCAUACCCAUCAGAGUAUGAUAAAUCCAAAAGGCAGAACCUUCGUAGAUAUGCACUCAAAUUCAACUUAAAGGGUACUGGAAUGUGAUCCAUGUCAAAAAGUUGGAAAGCCUUUGACUGCUGUGCAGACCUUACAGUGCAUUGAGGAAUUCACAAGCUCCAGUGUGGAUCCAGAACACUUAAGAAGAGAUGAUGGCAAACCCCUCAGAAGACUUUAGAUGUUACCAACCCUGAAACAACAUACAGCACUACCGAGUUCUGCUACUAAUUUAUAGUUUUUUUUGUCUGUUUGAUUACGUCAUUAAUUGAUCUUUACCAGACAUCUCUGCCAUAUGUACAUCAACUUGACAGUCACCACUAGUGAUGGGUCAUUCUUGAAUGAUUCGUUCAUUUUGAACGAAUCUUUAAUGUGACUCGGGACGAACGAGUCGUCUCGGGGAGUGAUUCGUUCAGUCGCACAUGCGCAACAUCCUAUUAGGUUCUGUACUGGAAUUAGUUCAACUGUUUUAGAGUCGUUCGUUCACCUUAUGGGGAUGUCACGUGAUGAACGAACGACUCAAACCCGAAGACUCAAAAGAUGAACUAAUUAAUUCUCUUUCCGGCUCAGCCUGCAUAGGUUAACAUUACGGGGAUGUCACGUGAUGAACGAACGACUCAAACCUGAGGACUCGAGAGACGAACUAAUCAAUUCUCUUUCCGGCUCAGACUGCGUUGGUUAGCUAAUUGGGCUGUCAGGUGAUGAACGAAGGACUCAAACCCGAAAACAUGUCAGAUAAGAGGUGAGGUGAGCGAAUCAUAGACUAAAGACACAGGUAAACAAUGAAUUAAUAUUUUCUGUUUCUUAUAGCAUUAUAGUUUUGUUUUGUUUGUAGUGUGAUCAACGUUUGUGUAAGCAGUAGAUGUGUUAGGGAAGUAAAACGUAACAUUUUAAUUAUAUUUUGCUAAAAUGAAAAAAUGAACGAAAUGACUCGAAAAAAGAUUCGUUCAUUUUGCUGAACGAGACUCAAAGGACCGAGUCGGUAAAAUGAUCCGAACUUCCCAUCACUAGUCACCACUAGUAAGCUACUACUAAAUAUAUUGUAAAAAAAAUAAUUUGCUGUUAAGUUGCUUUGCAACAAUAUCUAUCGUGACAAGCACUAUACAAAUAAAUUUGAAUUGAACUGAAUGUACACGCAAAGAAGAAGGCAUAAUUAUUGUAUCUGUUGGCGUUCUUCUUUGUCUUCUGCUUCUUCUUCUUCUGCUCAAGUCUAUGGCAGCCCAUAGAACCAUUUGCAGGAAAGUAGUGAAAUUUGGCACACAGAGAGGACAGUCCCAACAUUAACCACAGCAAGUCUGGAGCCUCCAACUCAAACUCUGUAGUGCCACCACUUGUCCAAAGUUUCAAUAAUUUUAUGCUAAUAACUUUUGAACUGUAAGGCACAGAAUGAAAAUCCUUGACUCACACCGAGUCGAAUGAAGUAAACUCAAAAAUUGUAAAGGUUUUUCUCCACUCCCGUGCGAGAUGUUACUUAUUCAUUUAUAUUUUUAAAUACCCAGUCAUAGAAGUAUUAUGAAAAAUACAAAUUAUUUCUGAAAAAUUAAAUACUUGCCACAUGCACUUCAUGUGUACGCUAUUCUUCUAUUGCAUCACUCGUACUUGCAUUAAAUGCCACAUUUUAAUGGGUAAAUUAUUUUAUCAGAGACAAAAAUUCAAACAAACACACACUUUUAGACUUGUAUGCGUGCACGUAAAUGAGUCGAUCUGUGAAAUGUGUGGUGAAUGCUUCGUCUGACGGUGUUUCUUUUACAUUGUGGCUGUCAUCCAAUUUUCAUCAAAUUUAACUCGGAUCAUCUUCAGACUUUGCUGGCAAAAAGUUAUGAAGUUAAGAUGCUGAGCAUUUCAUUGUGAAAGCGAAACUACUUUGUUUGGUCUUCUAAAUCAGUACACAACUAGAUAUCAGUGGUUAAGUUAUAUGUACAACACACAAUACAAAUAUUUGAGUGUGUGCAUUUUAUGGAGGACUGUUUCCUGAACCUGUGAGAGUAGUUUUUGUUCCUCACAAACAUUCAAACAGUUUGAAUUAAAUCAUGUAUUCAGUUGCAGUUCAUUAUAAAGUUAGUAGCCACCUUAUCAUUGAUUUCUGUAGAGCUGUACAUUUUAAUAAGGAUUAAAUGAGUGAGUUCAACUUUGAGAAUGAAAACUAACCUGUUUUUUUCUCUGUAUCUUCAUGUUUGACCCUGAAUGUUUCUU